UAACUGAAGAGUUUGAUCAUGGCUCAGAUUGAACGCUGGCGGCAGGCUUAACACAUGCAAGUCGAGCGGGGGAAGGUAGCUUGCUACUGGACCUAGCGGCGGACGGGUGAGUAAUGCUUAGGAAUCUGCCUAUUAGUGGGGGACAACAUCUCGAAAGGGAUGCUAAUACCGCAUACGUCCUACGGGAGAAAGCAGGGGAUCUUCGGACCUUGCGCUAAUAGAUGAGCCUAAGUCGGAUUAGCUAGUUGGUGGGGUAAAGGCCUACCAAGGCGACGAUCUGUAGCGGGUCUGAGAGGAUGAUCCGCCACACUGGGACUGAGACACGGCCCAGACUCCUACGGGAGGCAGCAGUGGGGAAUAUUGGACAAUGGGGGGAACCCUGAUCCAGCCAUGCCGCGUGUGUGAAGAAGGCCUUAUGGUUGUAAAGCACUUUAAGCGAGGAGGAGGCUACUUUAGUUAAUACCUAGAGAUAGUGGACGUUACUCGCAGAAUAAGCACCGGCUAACUCUGUGCCAGCAGCCGCGGUAAUACAGAGGGUGCGAGCGUUAAUCGGAUUUACUGGGCGUAAAGCGUGCGUAGGCGGCUUAUUAAGUCGGAUGUGAAAUCCCCGAGCUUAACUUGGGAAUUGCAUUCGAUACUGGUGAGCUAGAGUAUGGGAGAGGAUGGUAGAAUUCCAGGUGUAGCGGUGAAAUGCGUAGAGAUCUGGAGGAAUACCGAUGGCGAAGGCAGCCAUCUGGCCUAAUACUGACGCUGAGGUACGAAAGCAUGGGGAGCAAACAGGAUU
rnacentral:rRNA from 1 species